CCGGCCAGCGCCGCUUGCCGGAGCGCGGAGGCUGCAGCGCGCCGCGGCUCCGAGAUGCCGCGGCUCCGCCCGCCCCCGCCACCCCGAGUCCCAGAGCCCGGGUCGGAGCGGCAGACCUGACUCCGGGCCGAAGAAGGGGUUCUUUCGUGCAGAGUUGCGGCUGGAGGACCCAAAGUUUUGCUUGAAGCGUGUCCCUUCCUUCUCGGGUCCCUGUCGCCCACGGUGAGGCGCCCCUGCGGAGAUCCUGACGGCUUAAUGGGAGGGAGCCGAGUAGGUUUCACCCCCAACCCCAAGUAGGGAGGGGAUCCUGGUGACCUCGCGUGCUGGCCACGGUCCCCUUCAUCCUAUCAGCUCUCUGAUGGACCGCGAACCAUGGAGAUUCAGAGGAUGCCUCUGGGAGCUGAAACCAAUGGGUAGAUGGUCCUUAAAUGCAGUGCUGAGAAUUGAACCCAGUGCCUCACACAUGUAAGUCUGUUGUAGCUCCCCCAGAGCAACAGUUUUCACGGAACGGAGUCUCCCGGCUUCGUGGCAGAUUCUCUACACCGUGGAGGAGGGCCUGCUGGGCAUCCGGUUCUGGCGAGGACCAGAGAACUGUGAUAACUUGAGGGUGUCGUGUCAACCUUGUCUCAUGCACCAGCUGAACUCAGUGACACUAGCUUCUUGGAUCCUGACAGACGGCACUGUUCUUACUGAAUCACCAAGGAGGCUGCUCAGUCCUGGGGGCCGCUCUGCUCUGGAGGUGCUUCCUUUGCGGUAUGGGCAGACUUGACCUCAGACAAGGCAGAGGGCAUGCCCCGAUUUGGAACCCUAUACUGGUGUCCGUUAUACCAGUGGUUUUCAAAGUUGAACUUGUGUCUGAGUCACCUGGAGGGCUUGUUAAAACACAGGGUGCUGGGCCCCCAAGUUUCUGACUCAGCAGGUCUGGGAUGAGACCUGGGACUAUGCUUUUCUAAUAAGUCCCUAGUGUUAUGGAUGCUGCUGCUUGGGAGAUCACACUUGGGGAAUCACAGGUCUGCUCCAGGGUCGCAUUGUCAACUUAUAAAAUAUUCUCUUUAGUUCUUUUUGCAAAGAAAUAUCAGAUUUGAUGGACAAAUGAAUGGAAGUAAAAAAAAAACAAACAACCCACAAGUCCAUCAACUGAUGAGUGGAUAAAUUAAGGAAUAUCCAUACAAUGAAAUAAUAUUGAGUCAUAAAAAGGAAUGAAAUACUAAUACACCUUACAAUGUGUGAAUGAUCUUUGAAGACAUUGUGCUAAAUGACAGAAGCCAGUUACAAAGGGCCACAUAUUCUAUGAAUCAAUUUAGAUGAUAUGUCCAGAAUAGGCAAAAUCAUAGAGACAGAAAGCAGUUUAUAGUUGCCAGGAAAUGGAAGCAGAGUUGAAACAGGGAGUGACUGCUUAUUGUGCUUCCCAAUGUGAUGAUAAAAACAUUGAACUACAUAGUGGUGAUGGUCACACUGUGAAUGUACUUUGUACCACCAAAUGGCAUAUUUUAAAGAUGGCUAAAAUGGUCAAUUUUAUGCUGUAUGUAUUUUGCCACAAUAAAAAAUUAAGAGUGAAUGGAGUGAGUGUCAUUUAAAUUAUUGACCACUGAAAUGUUUACAGAACAAUGUUGGGAAAUGCAAAGGGCCUAAACAGGUGUUUCUCAGCCCUGAUUGGCUGAAGAGUCAGUCAUCUGGAGAGGUUUACAACAUACCCUCCUCUUAGCUACUCCCCAAACUAGCUCAGUCUCUGAGGUGAGGCCCAGGCAACAAAAAGUAAAGAUCUACCUCUAGAUGGUUGCAGCGAACAGCCAGGAUGGAGAACACUGCAUUGGUGACCUCCCUGAACCCCAACUUGACCUUCAUCACAAACAACAGCUCCAUUACCUCCUCCUUUGUGCGCUUGGCAUUGGAGUGCAGAGUAGAAGCAGGAGACUUGGAAUCAGAUC